GGGGUUGUGGCUCAGUGGUAGAGCACUUGCCUAGCACGUGUGAGGCACUGGGUUCGAUCCUUAGCACCUCA
rnacentral:tRNA from 1 species